UGCUAGAUAGGCUAACUAGCUAGGAAGCUGCGAGCUAGAUAGGUUAACUGAAAUUGUUUGACUUUAAAGUGUUACAGAUCAGCUGCCAUCAGUCAUGUAAAUAAGUUGAAAGGAAAUCAUGCUACUCUGAUAACUGGAUUCCUCUUUAAUUUCGUGGUAUGAUCUUUUAGUACGUAGCAGACUAAAACCGAGUCUGAAAGUAGUGUCAAAUUUGGUGUAGACUCCACGUUCAGCAGUGGCCAUGCAAGGUAUUUUUUGUUGGGUGUGCCAUUGUGUUUUUUGGAGCAAUAAUCCUACAGCUAUUGGGUAAGAUUUACAGUCCGUGUAGACGAGCCGUAUGUCUUAUUGUUAGUAUCUCUACUCCUAAUGUCUCAUUUGGUAGUCUCCGUUCUACGGUUAAUUUUCGUCCCACCUCCACUGGUUUAUUUUCGUUCUCCAUCCCACCUAACACAUACACACGUCUGUGCUUGCUUGCUGAUGUGUGUGUGUCGAUGCGUCCCUCACGUGCUCUCCCGCCAGGCACCAGCAGCCGUUCGGUGUGCUCUCCGGCAUGCUGCAGUCGAAGGGUCGAGCAGGAGCUAUGGAUGCCAGCAAACAAGCCUGUGCAGACGGCAAUGCAUCAAUCAAAUCGGAUGGAGAACAUCACACAACAGCCUUUCUCCAGGACAUAAAGAAAAUGGUGGCACUUUGGGUUUUGAAGACGCCGCCUCGCGUAGGACUACGAACAUGGGACGCUCAGUCGAGUUUUUCUUAACUCGUCAGGAUUCUCAUGCUGCAAAUUUAGUAACGGGGCAAAAUUUUUGGUGUCCUGUUGUGUUUGCGGAUUGAUGAAAAUUUGGCGAGGGAGAUCAUAAACCAUCGCUCGCUGCAGCACAUCAAUUGUUGAAUUCGUUUGAAGGAGCUGUCAAUUGUUGAAUUCGCUUGAAGGAGAUGGAGCUCGUUUGGCUGAAUUUGCUACUGAGCUGCCACAUUUUGAGGGCCUGCAAUUGAAGAAUACAACACUUGAGAUAACAAUUGAAGAAUACUAGAGUAAUAAUAACUACUGCAAGAUUGAUGUAUUUUCUUUUUGUUGGAGAUUUUCUGCAUCUUUUAUGGACGGUAACAUUUGAGAUAACAAUUUGAUGUGCUAACCAUCAAGAUCAACUUUGACAUGUUUGGUCUCUAAAAGUUACUAUUGACCAUCAUUAGUACAUCCUAUAAGGUAUAGUAAGUACUAUGAGUAACUUACCAGACGUUGACUGUAGAAGUUGCUAUCCAACUCUUGUGAAAUCUAACCAUGUUAUUCAUUUACGAUACCUGUACGUAUGUGGUACACAAUCUGAAAUAGUAGAAGGGGAAAAUAAAGCAUUAAUGUGGAGUAUGUUCCAAUGGAAAUCUUCAGGAACACCUUGAAGGUCUGAGUGCAAUUUUUCUUUAGUUCUCUGUGAGCUUAAAAAUGCAACUGAUGUGGCCCAUGCAACUGAAAUUAAAAACAUGGAGAAGAAUCAUAAAAGAUCUCGCUGAAAAUGCCCUCGUUCCGCACUUCGUGUGGACAGGCAGCGCCCUUUACCUUUGAAGUCUCGAAAAAUGGUCUGGGUGAUGCGGGUGCCUCAAUGCUUGAUGCCAUGUUCUGUAAGAGGCCAAGGUUGUAUUUGGGUGUCCACGCGCUACAGGGAAUUACUGUGCGGAGUAGUAAGAAUUGAUUUAAACGUAGAGCCUAGACUCGCACUCCAUGAGCAUCCAUGGCCGGCGAGACAGGACCCUCGACCCUCGGCCUCUGUUGAGAAGGAUCGUUCCACUGUGUCCGAUUUGUAGUACAGAGCAAUCUCAUUCCUCUGAAGUUCCUAUUGGGAAA